GGUGACCUCGGAUCAGU
rnacentral:rRNA from 1 species